rnacentral:tmRNA from 1 species
CUAACUUCGGCAGGCUACGCUCGUAGAGUUUCGAGGGUCGAUUCUUUCGGACGCGGGUUCAAUUCCCGCCAUCUCCACUC